GCCACGGUGGUCUAGCGGUUAGAACGCUGGGCUUGUAAUCCUGGGGUCUCGGGUUCGAUUCCCAGCGGUGCCC
rnacentral:tRNA from 1 species